rnacentral:lncRNA from 1 species
GCUUCUAUAAAAGCCUCGUUACAAGGUGAUUUAAAUUUCGGGAUCCGGAUGCAACUUUAUGGUUAUAAUCUAACAUUCACCUAACAAUCCUUGGGACAUCACGAAUCAAACCAACUAUAUAUGACUAGUUAGUCGGUGAUUUAUAUCCACAUACAAUACUUCGGUAGAGAAGCCAACAUAUCAAUUUUUCAUCAUCUGUUUUAAGCCUACCUGCAAUUAUCACCCGAUAACAAACAAAUCAGCUUUGAAUAGAAAUUUUCAAAUGCUUGGAUGAUCUUGGAAGCUAGUUUAAGGCUUAGGGAUCAAAACAGGUUGCACCUUCAGCUGUUUUGUGAAAGCAAUGGCUGCAAAACCAAACUGGGUCCUCGUCCUUAACACACAAACUACUGGUGAAUUAUUCCGAACUCUCUUGUCUUCGGGUUCCAGUGUCAACCCAAGUUAAUGACUGAAAUUCCUUUUUAUGAGCUUUACAACAGAA